rnacentral:rRNA from 2 species
UGGACCUCUUGAAACACGGACCMAGGAGUUCAGCAUUCAGGCGARUCUGAGGGUUGAGCAAAACCCGAAGGCGAAGUGAAAGCAAAGGGGCUCCUCGUGGGCCUGCUAGAUGUGAUCCCGGGUAGGUGAGAGCCUCCUGGGCGCAACAUCGUCUCGUCGUGAUCUCGUGUGGAUACGGCGACGAUUGAGCCUGCACGCUGAGACCCGAAAGAUGGUGAACUAUGCCAGAGUAGGGCGAAGCCAGAGGAAACUCUGGUGGAGGCCCGAAGCGAUUCUAACGUGCAAAUUGAUCGUCAGACUUUGGUAUAGGGGCGAAAGACUAAUCGAACCAUCUAGUAGCUGGUUCCCUCCGAAGUUUCCCUCAGGAUAGCUGGCGCUCGUUCGGAGGCAGUAGUACCCGGUAAAGCGAAUGAUUAGAGUGUUCUGGAUCGAAACGAUCUAAACCUAUUCUCAAACUCUAAAUGGGUACGAAGGUUGGCUCGCUUGUGUGGAGUCGACACCUCGAAUGCGUGGAGUUCCAAGUGGGCCACUUUUGGUAAGCAGAACUGGCGCUGUGGGAUGAACCACACGUCCGGUUAAGGUGCCACACAUAACGCUCAUUAGAAACCACACAAGGUGUUGGUUGAUAAAGACAGCAGGACGGUGGUCAUGGAAGUCGAAAUCCGCUAAGGAGUGUGUAACAACUCACCUGCCGAAUCAACCAGCCCUGUAAAUGGAUAGCGCUCGAGCGUUGGACCUAUACCGGACCGUCACAGGAGUGUAAGUAACCUGUGGCGAGUAGGAGGGCGCCGUGGUGUACGUAGAAGCCCAGGCCGCGAGGCCGGGUGGAGUCGCCACGGGUACAGAUCUUGGUGGUAGUAGCAAGUAUUCAAGUGUGAACCAUG